UACGAAGGGGGCUAGCGUUGUUCGGAAUUACUGGGCGUAAAGCGCACGUAGGCGGAUACUUAAGUCAGGGGUGAAAUCCCAGAGCCCAACUCUGGAACUGCCUUUGAUACUGGGUAUCUUGAGGAUGGCAGAGGCAAGUGGAAUUCCGAGUGUAGAGGUGAAAUUCGUAGAUAUUCGCAAGAACACCAGUGGCGAAGGCGGCUCACUGGUCCGGUACUGACGCUGAGGUGCGAAAGCGUGGGGAGCAAACAGG
rnacentral:rRNA from 1 species